rnacentral:rRNA from 1 species
GACGAACGCUGGCGGCGUGCCUAAUACAUGCAAGUUGAGCGCUGAGGGGUGGUACUUGUACCACCUGGAUUAGCGGCGGACGGGUGAGUAACACGUGGAUAAUCUACCUUUGAGCGUGGGACAACAUUUGGAAACGAAUGCUAAUACCGCAUAAAAUCUUUAAACACAAGGUUUAAGUUUGAAAGAUGCAAUUGCAUCACUCAAUAAUGAUCCCCCGUCGUAUUAGCUAGGUGGGGAGGUUAACGCUCAACAAGGCGAAGAUACAUAGCCGACCUUAGAGGGUGAUCGGGCAACAUGGGAAUGAGAAAACGGCCCAAACUCUACGGGAGGGAGCAGGAGGGAAACUUUGCGCAAGGAGGAAAGUCUGACCGAGGAACGCCGGGGGGGUGAAGAAGGGUUUCGGAACGUAAAAAUCUUGUGGUAGAGAAGAACGAUAGUGAGAGUGGAAAGCUCAUCAAGUGACGGUAACUACACAGAAAGGGACGGCUAACUACGUG